AUUGAACGCUGGCGGCAGGCCUAACACAUGCAAGUCGAGCGAGUGGCGGACGGGUGAGUAAUGUCUGGGAAACUGCCUGAUGUAGGGGGAUAACUACUUGAAACGGUAGCUAAUACCCCAUACCAUCAGAUGUGCCCAGAUGGGAUUAGCUAGUAGGUGGGGUGACGGCUUACCUUGGCGACGAGCCCUAGCUGGGCUGAGAGGAUGACGAGGCACACUGGCACUGAUAGACGGUCCAGACUCCUACGGGAGGCAGCAGUGGGGAAUAUGGCACAAUGGGCGCAAGCCUGAUGCAGCCGUGCCGGGGGUGUGAAGAAGGCCUUCGAGUUGUAAAGCACUUACAGCGGGGAGGCGUUAGCCGCAGAAGAAGCACCGGCUAACUCCGUGCCAGCAGCCGCGGUAAUUC
rnacentral:rRNA from 1 species